rnacentral:rRNA from 1 species
GACGGAGGUCUCUAGCGUUGUUCGGAAUUACUGGGCUUAAAGCGCGUGUAGGCGGGGUGGCAAGUACCGUGUGAAAUCCCUGGGCUCAACCCGGGAACGGCUCGGUAUACUGUCACUCUUGAGGCAGGUAGGGGUCACUGGAACCUUAGGUGGAGCGGUGAAAUGCGUAGAUAUCUAAGGGAACGCCUGUGGCGAAAGCGGGUGACUGGGCCUGUCCUGACGCUGAGACGCGAAAGCCAGGGGAGCAAACGGG